rnacentral:rRNA from 1 species
GACGAACGCUGGCGGCGUGCUUAACACAUGCAAGUCGAACGGAAAGGCCCUGCUUUUGUGGGGUGCUCGAGUGGCGAACGGGUGAGUAACACGUGAGUAACCUGCCCUUGACUUUGGGAUAACUUCAGGAAACUGGGGCUAAUACCGGAUAGGAGCUCCUGCUGCAUGGUGGGGGUUGGAAAGUUUCGGCGGUUGGGGAUGGACUCGCGGCUUAUCAGCUUGUUGGUGGGGUAGUGGCUUACCAAGGCUUUGACGGGUAGCCGGCCUGAGAGGGUGACCGGCCACAUUGGGACUGAGGUACGGCCCAGACUCCUACGGGAGGCAGCAGUGGGGAAUAUUGCACAAUGGGCGGAGGCCUGAUGCAGCAACGCCGCGUGCGGGAUGACGGCCUUCGGGUUGUAAACCGCUUUCGCCUGUGACGAAGCGUGAGUGACGGUAAUGGGUAAAGAAGCACCGGCUAACUACGUG